rnacentral:rRNA from 1 species
GGGUUGUGAGGUUAAGCGACUAAGCGUACACGGUGGAUGCCCUGGCAGUCAGAGGCGAUGAAGGACGUGCUAAUCUGCGAAAAGCGUCGGUAAGGUGAUAUGAACCGUUACAGCCGGCGAUGUCCGAAUGGGGAAACCCAGUGCAAUUCGUUGCACUAUCGUUAACUGAAUACAUAGGUUAACGAGGCGAACCGGGGGAACUGAAACAUCUAAGUACCCCGAGGAAAAGAAAUCAACCGAGAUUCCCCCAGUAGCGGCGAGCGAACGGGGAGCAGCCCAGAGUCUGAAUCAGCUUGUGUGUUAGUGGAACGGUCUGGAAAGUCCGACGGUACAGGGUGAUAGUCCCGUACACCAAAAUGCACAGGUUGUGAACUCGAAGAGUAGGGCGGGACACGUGGUAUCCUGUCUGAAUAUGGGGGACCAUCCUCCAAGGCUAAAUACUCCUGACUGACCGAUAGUGAACCAGUACCGUGAGGGAAAGGCGAAAAGAACCCCGGCGAGGGGAGUGAAAAAGAACCUGAAACCGUGUACGUACAAGCAGUGGGAGCACCUUCGGGUGUGACUGCGUACCUUUGUAUAAUGGGUCAGCGACUUAUAUUCUGUAGCAAGGUUAACCGUAUAGGGGAGCCGCAGGGAAACCGAGUCUUAACUGGGCGUUAAGUUGCAGGGUAUAGACCCGAAACCCGGUGAUCUAGCCAUGGGCAGGUUGAAGGUUGGGUAACACUAACUGGAGGACCGAACCGACUAAUGUUGAAAAAUUAGCGGAUGACUUGUGGCUGGGGGUGAAAGGCCAAUCAAACCGGGAGAUAGCUGGUUCUCCCCGAAAGCUAUUUAGGUAGCGCCUCGUGAACUCAUCUUCGGGGUAGAGCACUGUUUCGGCUAGGGGGUCAUCCCGACUUACCAACCCGAUGCAAACUACGAAUACCGAAGAAUGUUAUCACGGGAGACACACGGCGGGUGCUAACGUCCGUCGUGAAGAGGGAAACAACCCAGACCGCCAGCUAAGGUCCCAAAGUCAUGGUUAAGUGGGAAACGAUGUGGGAAGGCACAGACAGCCAGGAUGUUGGCUUAGAAGCAGCCAUCAUUUAAAGAAAGCGUAAUAGCUCACUGGUCGAGUCGGCCUGCGCGGAAGAUGUAACGGGGCUAAACCAUGCACCGAAGCUGCGGCAGCGACACUAUGUGUUGUUGGGUAGGGGAGCGUUCUGUAAGCCUGCGAAGGUGUGCUGUGAGGCAUGCUGGAGGUAUCAGAAGUGCGAAUGCUGACAUAAGUAACGAUAAAGCGGGUGAAAAGCCCGCUCGCCGGAAGACCAAGGGUUCCUGUCCAACGUUAAUCGGGGCAGGGUGAGUCGACCCCUAAGGCGAGGCCGAAAGGCGUAGUCGAUGGGAAACAGGUUAAUAUUCCUGUACUUGGUGUUACUGCGAAGGGGGACGGAGAAGGCUAUGUUAGCCGGGCGACGGUUGUCCCGGUUUAAGCAUGUAGGCUGGUUAUCCAGGCAAAUCCGGAUAAUCAAGGCUGAGGUGUGAUGACGAGGCACUACGGUGCUGAAGUAACAAAUGCCCUGCUUCCAGGAAAAGCCUCUAAGCAUCAGGUAACAUCAAAUCGUACCCCAAACCGACACAGGUGGUCAGGUAGAGAAUACCAAGGCGCUUGAGAGAACUCGGGUGAAGGAACUAGGCAAAAUGGUGCCGUAACUUCGGGAGAAGGCACGCUGGUGUGUAGGUGAAGUCCCUGCGGAUGGAGCUGAGACCAGUCGAAGAUACCAGCUGGCUGCAACUGUUUAUUAAAACACAGCACUGUGCAAACACGAAAGUGGACGUAUACGGUGUGACGCCUGCCCGGUGCCGGAAGGUUAAUUGAUGGGGUUAUCCGUAAGGAGAAGCUCUUGAUCGAAGCCCCGGUAAACGGCGGCCGUAACUAUAACGGUCCUAAGGUAGCGAAAUUCCUUGUCGGGUAAGUUCCGACCUGCACGAAUGGCGUAAUGAUGGCCAGGCUGUCUCCACCCGAGACUCAGUGAAAUUGAACUCGCUGUGAAGAUGCAGUGUACCCGCGGCAAGACGGAAAGACCCCGUGAACCUUUACUAUAGCUUGACACUGAACAUUGAGCCUUGAUGUGUAGGAUAGGUGGGAGGCUUUGAAGCGUGGACGCCAGUCUGCGUGGAGCCAACCUUGAAAUACCACCCUUUAAUGUUUGAUGUUCUAACGUUGGCCCCUGACCGGGGUUGCGGACAGUGUCUGGUGGGUAGUUUGACUGGGGCGGUCUCCUCCCAAAGCGUAACGGAGGAGCACGAAGGUUAGCUAAUCCUGGUCGGACAUCAGGAGGUUAGUGCAAUGGCAUAAGCUAGCUUGACUGCGAGCGUGACGGCGCGAGCAGGUGCGAAAGCAGGUCAUAGUGAUCCGGUGGUUCUGAAUGGAAGGGCCAUCGCUCAACGGAUAAAAGGUACUCCGGGGAUAACAGGCUGAUACCGCCCAAGAGUUCAUAUCGACGGCGGUGUUUGGCACCUCGAUGUCGGCUCAUCACAUCCUGGGGCUGAAGUAGGUCCCAAGGGUAUGGCUGUUCGCCAUUUAAAGUGGUACGCGAGCUGGGUUUAGAACGUCGUGAGACAGUUCGGUCCCUAUCUGCCGUGGGCGCUGGAGAAUUGAGGGGGGCUGCUCCUAGUACGAGAGGACCGGAGUGGACGCAUCACUGGUGUUCGGGUUGUCAUGCCAAUGGCACUGCCCGGUAGCUAAAUGCGGAAGAGAUAAGUGCUGAAAGCAUCUAAGCACGAAACUUGCCCCGAGAUGAGUUCUCCCUGAGACUAUAAGUCUCCUGAAGGAACGUUGAAGACGACGACGUUGAUAGGCCGGGUGUGUAAGCGCAGCGAUGCGUUGAGCUAACCGGUACUAAUGAACCGUGAGGCUUAACCUUACAACGCCGAAG